GGAGAGUAGGCAGAUAUUGGUUUGCUGCGGCAUCCUGCUAAGAUGUUUCUCGUUAAUAACGGGAUGAAGGUUCGAUUCCUUUGCUCUCCG
rnacentral:tRNA from 1 species